rnacentral:rRNA from 1 species
GACGAACGCUGGCGGCGUGCCUAAUACAUGCAAGUAGAACGCUGAAGGAGGAGCUUGCUUCUCUGGAUGAGUUGCGAACGGGUGAGUAACGCGUAGGUAACCUGCCUGGUAGCGGGGGAUAACUAUUGGAAACGAUAGCUAAUACCGCAUAAUAGUAGAUGUUGCAUGACAUUUGCUUAAAAGGUGCAAUUGCAUCACUACCAGAUGGACCUGCGUUGUAUUAGCUAGUUGGUGAGGUAACGGCUCACCAAGGCAACGAUACAUAGCCGACCUGAGAGGGUGAUCGGCCACACUGGGACUGAGACACGGCCCAGACUCCUACGGGAGGCAGCAGUAGGGAAUCUUCGGCAAUGGACGGAAGUCUGACCGAGCAACGCCGCGUGAGUGAAGAAGGUUUUCGGAUCGUAAAGCUCUGUUGUAAGAGAAGAACGAGUGUGAGAGUGGAAAGUUCACACUGUGACGGUAUCUUACCAAAAGGGACGGCUAACUACGUG